AUGAUUUCUUGAGGAAAUGAGUUGGUAAUGGUGUGAGUAUGUUUGUGUCAGCAAAGGUUCUCCAAGAUUGAAAGAAAUGGAUGCAUGCAUGUGGAUUAAUCUUGGAAUGCAUGUUGAUUUUGGAGCUAGCCAAGCUAUGGCAAUGGUGACUAUGGAUGUGAGGAAAUUGAGAACUAUAUGUGUGGAACUCAAGCUAUAACUGAAAGAUAGUGAUCAACCUAGCGUGCAUUCAUCUGCAUUUGCAGUCCAUCGCGGAUAGGUAAAGGCAUCUCAUAGCACUUUAUUCUGAGUCACUCCGCUGUUAGAGGUCAAGUUGUCAUAGUGUAAAUUGUUAUAAAAUUAGGCAAUUGUGUGAAUACAAAUGUACAUUUAGAGAUUAUAAGUCUUGAUGUAUUAUUUUUACAAUUAUGUGGGAUAAAGGUUUAUUCAAUUUAUAAAGAUCAUU